rnacentral:rRNA from 1 species
UACAGAGGGUGCGAGCGUUGUUCGGAAUCAUUGGGCGUAAAGGGCGCGUAGGCGGUGAGGUGUGUCCGACGUGAAAUCCCUCGGCUUAACCGGGGAACGGCGUCGGAAACUACCUUGCUUGAGUGCGAGAGAGGGUGGCGGAAUUCUCAGUGUAGAGGUGAAAUUCGUAGAUACUGGGAGGAACACCAGAGGCGAAGGCGGCCACCUGGCUCGUGACUGACGCUGAGGCGCGAAAGCGUGGGUAG